AAUAGAUACCCCGGUAGUCCACGCCGUAAACGUUGGGCACUAGGUGUGGGUCUCAACCAACGGGAUCCGUGCCGUAGCUAACGCAUUAAGUGCCCCGCCUGGGGAGUACGGCCGCAAGGCUAAACUCAAAGGAAUUGACGGGGGCCCGCACAAGCGGCGGAGCAUGCGGAUUAAUUCGAUGCAACGCGAAGAACCUUACCAAGGCUUGACAUAUAGAAGAACGCGCCAGAAAUGGUGAACUCUUUGGACACUUCUAUACAGGUGGUGCAUGGUUGUCGUCAGCUCGUGUCGUGAGAUGUUCGGUUAAGUCCGGCAACGAGCGCAACCCUCGUCCUAUGUUGCCAGCGGGUUAUGCCGGGGACUCAUGGGAUACUGCCGUGGUCAACACGGAGGAAGGUGGGGAUGACGUCAAAUCAUCAUGCCCCUUAUGUCUUGGGCUUCACGCAUGCUACAAUGGCCGGUACAGAGGGUUGCGAUGCCGCGAGGCGGAGCGAAUCCCAAAAAGCCGGUCUCAGUUCGGAUUGGGGUCUGC
rnacentral:rRNA from 1 species